ACCCCCUGCAGGAGAAGCCUCGGCGGGUGGUCCAGUGCCUAGCUCCCUCCUCCCUCAGGUUACAGCAUUUUCUGGGAUGGAGGCUGAGGGCACACGUAGCUGCAGGGACAAACACUGUUUUCUUGACUGAUGGAUGUCGUUAGGUGGUUCUAGAUGGUGAGUUGGUUUCAUGGGGACAAGCCCAUUGCUGUACUUUCCAUCCUGUGGAAUGAGUUCCUUGACCAGAAGCAAUGCCGUGCAGAACUGUCAUGGUGGAUAAGACAUUCUGUGAGUCUAAGAACGGUAGUGCUUGCAGCCAUGUCGUGAACAGGAAAGGCAAAUUCAUAUCCAGAACAUGUGUCUGCUCCAGUGAGGGUAGAUCCUGCCACCUCCAUUACGAAGUGGUCUGAUGUAAUUAACUGCUGUCAGGUGUUUGGCUGUUUUCCUUGGGCAAUGGGAUCAUGGGGACUCAGUGUUGGUCUCUGCUGUUGGCGGACCAGGCACUCAGUAGUAGAGCUGGCCAGGUCAUCCUUGGUAAGAAGAGGUCCUUGGCAUUAAACCCUUGCAUAACCCUCGUCCCUGCUACCACAGCCACUCUGUUUAUCAGCUCAUUGAGUGAAUACUAGGAUGACUGGGAAAGGGGGCUGACUGACAUCCACCAAGCAUGUCAUUUUGUCUAAAUGACUAUUUAGAGCCUUCUCUGCAGUGGAUGUCCUUUAAAUGACAUGGGACAGUAUCUUUAUGGUCUGUGAUGAUUCUGAGAAGUCCAUGAACCUCAUUCCUAGAAUUUCUUGUCACAGAUCUUCCACCCUUCUCCUUCUAAUUCACUGACCAUCCAGCCAAACCAUCGGCGACUGCCCACGAAUUAGUGUAGAUUCAUACUGUGAUCUGGCUUUUCACACUCAGAGCUCUGCCAAACUGGAAGAUGUCUCACUAUAUUUCUUCAAGAUCCUGAGUAGGGCUGUAAUCCACAGCCAUCCACUGUUUGAUGGUAGCAUGCAGACUCAUCCAUAAACCAGGCUUGAAUUUGUUCUUCAGCAAAUGGUUCAUAUAAAACUCCCCAUGAGGCCACAGGCAGGGACUGAAGGGUAAGAGGCAACGCCAAAGGAGCUUGAUCUACCUGCUCAUGCAGCUUACCUAUACCUCUGGACCUGUCCAGUCCAUUAUAUACCAUCUCCCUUUAAAUGGUUGCUGCCCACAGCUGAAGUUCUGGCCAGGGGGCAAGGCAAUAUCCAGUCCAUGAUGAGAAGUUCAGGUUACACGGUCACCUGAUAUACCAUGCUUAGACAUUAUAGAUCUUCCUUGACUUAUGACGGGGUUAUGUCCUGAUAAAACCACUGUAAGUUGAAGAUAUCAUUAAGUAGAAAUUCAUUUAAUACAUCUAGCCUACUGAACUUCAGAGCUUAGCCUAGCCUACCUUCAAUGUGCUCAAACACGUCCAUUAGCCUUCAGUCAGGCAAAAUCACAAAACCCAUUUUAGAACACAGUGUUGCGUGUUCCCGUCAUGGCUCAGCGGUUAACGAACCCAACUAGCAUCCAUGAGGACGCGGGUUUGAUCUCUUGCCUCCCUCAGUGGGCUACAGAUCUUACGUUGCUGUGAGCUGUGGUGUAGGUUGCAGACACGGCUCGGAUCCCGCAUUGCUGUGGUUCUGGUGUAGGCUGGAAGCUACAGUUGCAAUUUGACCCUUAGCCUGGGAACGAACCUCCAUAGGCUGCUGGUGCGGCCUUAAAAGACAAAAAAAAAAAAAAAAAAAAAAAAAAAAAG
rnacentral:lncRNA from 1 species